GUGCAGUGAUGUCUGAAUUAACCUGAACUUCACCUGAAGUCACAGUAAAAAUCGAGCUUUUUAACCCUGAGUCACA